GCAGGAUUAGCAUGCGGGACUGGGUGUCUGAAGGUGACAUGAAAAAAAAGUAUCAAGUGUAAUAGGAAGACUGACGGAACGGGUCAUUUUGGAAGGAAUUUCAGUGUACUUCUAUCUAAAAGAACCGAGUUCCUGGGCAGAUAAUGCUGCUGGAUACAAAAGGAAAGUAUAUUGUCUUGAGUGUACAAAUUUUUGGGUGGUACCAUUGCAAGCCAGCACAUUAAAAAUAGAGGUCUAGUUGGACACCAGCCAGGCAUUCUGGAUUUGGACAACGCUGAAGGCAGGUUGCAUCUCUGGCAGCUUCAUUAAAAACAAUAUUUGGAAUUACCUCUCCUUC